rnacentral:lncRNA from 1 species
GUCUGAGUCCUGAGACCUUCCCCUGGAACCUCAAUAAAUUUACUUGAUCUAAAUGGGUCCAGGUGCUGGGGUGAUUACCCUUAUCUUGUCUCCUGCUAAAUCAUGGAGGUUUGGGGAGUUCCUUCAGAACCCCAAUAAGCUUCUUUGUGAAGCCUGGGGAGUUUCUUCAGACUCCCAAUAAAACUUGUUUAAUCCUAAAUGGGUCCCGUUAAGGAUUCCUUCGUUAUUUUGUUAUGCUUUAAGGCUCAGGAAAAGCCUAGGCAAAACUCUUGGUGGGCUUUUGUUACAUUCCAGUCUUUGUAUAAGGGCACUGGCUUUUAAAACUUAGCCAGUCAGUCAGUACCGAAGCAGGUGUUAUGGAAGACUGCAUUAGUGAGACCUGGCCUGCCACAGGACCAAUACCUGGAAAUAGUGGGGUAUUUUUGUGCUCCUCAGGUAUGCGUUUUUGGACAUCCUUUUAUUGGAGAGCUGAAAGAGAAGGCUACCAUCUUUGGACGCCCUUUUACUGGAGAGCUGAAAGAGAAGGCUACUGAGAAGAUAUUUUUAAAGGAAUCUCAUCAAACAACCAGGGAGGAUCAACCACCAGAGAAAAGAAGAGACUGGGAGUCAUCACCAUGUCCCCAACAGAAUUUUCAUCUAUCCUUCUGAGGACAGCUCCAAGUGAUUACCUAGAGGACUUUGCUUCAUAAUAAGUCAACCUUCAUUCCUGUGCAGCCCCACCUCUCACCUUCCCAAAAUGUCUGCCUCCCAUCUUCUGGGUCCAUUCAUUCUCUCAAAUGAUUUGCUGCCCCUCAAAAGAAUUUUCCACGUUCCUCAUCUCUCCCCUCCCCUGGGAAAAAGCAUAUAUAAGCUUCUAUACCACCCUGGGUUAUUGGGUAAUCAUUCUCCAGCAAUUCUCCCAUCCUGUGCACAUCAAAUAAAUUCUGUAUGCGUUUUCUUUUAUUAAUGUGCUUUUUGUCUGUUGAUUUUCAGUGAGUCUUUAGAGGGCAAAGGGGAAAUUUUCUCCCUGCAAGAGUCUUAUUAUCCGAGUGUCUCUGCAAGCAGCACGUGGG